rnacentral:lncRNA from 1 species
GGAAUAACCCCAGAAAAGCUGGUCAAAGCAAAGUCUCUAGAAUUCAGGACUUUACAAUGGUAAGAAAUACAGAAUUUACUAUUAUAACUGAACCCAUUAAUUUAUGAUUAAUUUAAUGAUAGUUACCAUUUCAUCUCUUUCUCAUUAUAAAAGAAAGUUUUAUAAUGUAUUUUGACUAUAUAAUUUUCUGGAGUUAAAUAAAACUUGGAUAUAUUGAUUUCUUUUUUUUUGUUAAAAAUCAUUUUUUUCACUUAAUCUUAGUUUUCUCCAAAACUUUUUCAUGUUUUCAAAGAG